AAGGGUGAGCGGCGGCGCGCGGCAGCACUAGACAUCAGUGUCGAGCCGAACAGCGUGUUGGGAGGGUGUCUGCAUGCUUCCUCCGAGACCCCGGGACCCUUAGUUUUGUGCCCAGGAUGUACCAUGACCCCCGCUGACCUGAUACCCGGCGGCGCGGGGCGGGCGAGUCCACAACGAAUACACCAACACCACCACCACCACCACCAAGAGCAACAACAGCAGCAGCAGCAGAGAAAUCUGAAGCACUAAGAAGCCGAGGAGUAACGGCGAGGGACCAGCCGGGGCGAGGUUGUCAGGAGGUGGAGCAGGAGCAGGAGCAGGAGGUGGUGGAUGUGGAGGAGGAGGAGUAGGAGGGUGGUGUGAUGUUGUCCCUCACCCCUUUAUCUGCCUGCAGCCCGCCUCCCCACACCCGCCUCGCCGCCACACUCCUGCUGACCACUUUCCUCUAUGCAGGCGUGGGCGGGGAAUGCGCGGGCUUGCAGGCGUGCCUUGACCCCUACGAGCAGAGGUACGUGAAGCCGGAAGCCACCCCAGCCUUCUGCUCCCUGGCGGCGCAAACGUCGGACUGCAUGAAGUCACUCGCCAGCUCCUGCCGCAGCGUCUUCUCUUACGAGACGCGGCGCGGCAUGCUGGAGAAAUUCAUCAACACUUAUGACUGUGCCACCAUCCUCGCGAACCAUCGCCCAUCGCCCACCACGCCCCAGGACGCCACCCCUACCACCGUGGAAAAGUGCCAAUACAGGGGCACAUCGCCGCCCGCCCACUGCGGCCUCUUCGGCGAUCCGCAUCUCAAGACCUUCAGCGGCGCCUACAUGACGUGUGGCGUGGGCGGGGCGUGGCCUCUGCUGGACACACCCGCCCUCGCCAUACAGGUCACCAACGAGCAGGUCGGGCCGGACAACCACGCCACUGCCACCACCAAGGUGACGGUGCUGGUGAAAGAACAUGGCGCCUGUGGGGGUGAGCGGACCUACGAAGCAUCAGCAGAGGCGCUUCCCAGGGCUUUUGUAGACGGCACCACCUGGACGGGCGGCACGGUGCUGAACCCCCACACACAGGUGCGGGAGCGGGUGCCCGGUGAACACGUCCUCAUCACAGUCUCGCACAUCAACGCCACUGUAGCUGUCAGGAAAAUCGAGAAGUACUUGACGGUCCUCGUGUCGUUGCCGGAGAGCGAGAUUGGUGAGGGCGGAGAGCUGCAGCUGUGUGUGGGGGGCUGCCCGGACAGUGAGAGGCUUCCCAGGUCACCGCCCCGCCCUGUGGUCUCCCCCGCCAUGGCCAAGUCACAGGCGGUGAAGUUGUGCAAGGAGUAUAAUGUGACUGACUACUAUCUGGACUCGUGCAUCUUCGACUUAAUGUCCACGGGGGACAAGAGCUUCAGGGUGGCGGCUUUGGCAGCACAGCGUGACUUGUGGGAGCAUGACCCCAUCGGGGCACAGCGGCUCCUCCUCAACUGUUCGGAACCACCCUGCGUAUGGGAUGUGUCUGCUGCCACAAUCUCCACCUCUCCUAGCAUUGUGCUGCUUCUCGUGGCCCUCCUUCUGCUGAGUAGCACCCGGUGGGCUGGACGGUAGCCUGGGAGGGAGUGGGCUGCGACCGGCGGCAGUGUGGUACACCAGCUGGGACGGUGUCGCUUCAGGGAAAGAUCCGAGUCUUGUUGUGGGGAAGGAAUGACUUCAUUGGUAUUAUGGUCAUGGUUCUUAAAUACAUCUUAGUUCCCUCGAGUGAUGAGACUCUUGAGGAGAAGGUGAAGGGGGCGAGGGUCAGCACGAAUCCUGGAGAAGACCCUGGCCGUUGGAGGGACGCCGGUAAAGCGCGGCAGGCAUCAGAUUAGGAUGAUCGUAUGUGAGACAGAUGUAACGAGAGAGGCGCACAGAGACGGUGCCUCUUACGAGAAGCGCUGUGGCAGUGAAGGCAGAUCGAGGCGGGGCGGGGCUGGGACGGUGGCAGCACGAUUGGGAACACACUCGAGGUGUGUUGACCAUAGUGGUCAGGAGUCGUGCUGCACAGCGCGGUGGUGUGUAUAUAUUGUACAUAGUUUGGGACAGGUGGUGAACCUCUUCCUUUUCCUAGAACAGGCACGGUGGUGGUGGUGGUGUGUGUGUGUGUGUGUGUGUGUGUGUGUGUGUGUGUGUGUGUGUGUGUGUGUGUGUGUGUGUGUGUGUGCUCGCGCAUGUGAGAGCGAAGGCUGUAUGAAUGUGCUCAAAAGUUACAUUAAACUAAAGUCUUAAUGAUUAGAAAAUCGUGAUUUAUAUUGGAGUUGUUUGUACAGAGUGAGAGGUUUUGUAAGUACACGUGCGAGUAGGAACUGUACUGUACUGUACUGUACGCGUAUAUCCUUUUCAUGCACUCAAGAUUCAUUCAAAGACAUUUUUAGGUAAUAUAACAGAUCUCAAAUCUUCAUGUUAGCCCGUAAAGUACUACAUGUUGCUGCAUCCGUCAUAAAGGGAUCAAGUAACCUGCGUGUUAGGGUCGAGGGUCCCCAACCCUCGGCCACGUAGCGGCCGAGUCGUGCCGGCCAACACCUCGAGGACCUGAGCUUACGUAGGUGCGUAGUUCCCGCCGUCCGCGUGACCUAGCGGGUAUUGUCAUUGUUGUUCUAUGUUCUCUAGUUCGCUUUCUUCGGUGUCCUGAGUGAAAACCAGGGAGUGAUGAGGCGGGGGGAGAGGGCGCGGAAGGGAGAUUAAAAAAAAGUCUAGCAAUCUGGGUAAGUCUGUAUUGUGCCAACUCGGACGAUUAUUGUGACUUUUCUCGAUAAAACACUUCAAAAAGACAUUUCUGUGACAAUAAAUAUAGUUUACAUUACCUUAUGUGAGAUGCUGGACAAAGUGUGAGCUAUGAAUGGACGUCGUAUCGUAGGCUCUGUGUUGACAACUGAUACUGAUGGGCGUUAUGUUUCUGGUAAAGGGCUUGCCUUCACCAGCUCCUCGCCACACGUGUAACUUGGAUUAAAAUUUGUGCCAGUGUCGAAUUGCCGGGGCGAGGCUGCCGGAUGACAGUACUCAGGAAGCUGGCGUGGAGUGCUUGUGUCAUCCUUGGAAAGAGCACACUCCUGAAAGCUAAAAGCAUAUUUUCAUUAUUGAAGUAGCAAAUGGAAGUUAGUGUGUGUGUGUGUGUGUGUGUGUGUGUGUGUGUUUGUGUGUGUGUGUGUGUGUGUGUGUGUGUGUGUGUGUGUGUGUGUGUGUGUGUGUGUGUGUGUCUAUAUUUUGUGUAUGCGUUGGGCUGCGGCGCCACCCUUGGAGCCACAGCAGCCUGACCACCGCCGCCGGGAGGGUCAGGCGGGCCAAGUAUUCUAGUCAGCGUGUGAUGGAGGCGAGGCCCCGCGGCGGCAGCGGCCCCGUCAACACCCGCGUCCCAGGCACUGCCCCGCCCGCCGCCCCUGUUCCCGCCCACUUCGCCGGGACGAGUGUGAAGGAUUGUAUUCGUGCCGUGUUGUUACGUAGCGCCGUGUGAAGGAGCGGCUGGGCGGGAGGGAUAGAGGGAGGGAGGGAGAGGGAAGGACGGACAAUUCGUGUUUCAUUCAUUCAUGCUCUUCAUUCACCUCCGAUGACGGUAGAUCUCAGUUUUAUUAUUAUUAUUAUUAUUAUUAUUAUUAUUAUUGUUAUUAUUAUUACUGUCAUCAUUAUUAUAUGUAGUACUUGUAUGAAUGAGACCUGUCACGAGGACACCAGUGUGCAGGUGUGUUCCUCGCCAGAUACCUGGUUUAUCCCUACGUAAGUCUCAGACACACGCACGUACUAGUGAUAUAGUCAUACUUGUGUACAGAUCGAUGGAAGACCCGAAUCUUUGGAGAUAAUAAUGAUAAUAAUAAGAAAAAUAAUAAUAAUAAUGAUAAUGAUAAUAAUAAGGAUAACAAUAAUAAUAAAGAAAUUUUCCAUG
rnacentral:misc_RNA from 1 species